rnacentral:lncRNA from 1 species
CUCUUCCCACUGCCCAGGAAAUGCUGUAUGUGACCAUGAACUCCAGUGUCAAUGUGAAGAAGGGCUGACACAUCCUAACUGUGAUGAUACCACAUUUACUACCAAUGUCUCCAUUGUGGCUGGAGUGCUGACCAUGGUCCUGGCCACAGUUGUGAUCUCUGUGUUGUUUGUCCAUCGCCAAAAGGCCAGUAAGCAGAAGCAAGUUCAUAGCCCUUCCUCCAACACACCUGCAGUGGACAAUCAAGGACACUCAAAUGAAGAGCAACAACAGACCAGAACUGAGCCAGUUGUUUGCACCCAAAAUCAAAAUGCUUCAGACACCUUUGAGGAUAUCCCUGCUGGUUAUUCCAGUCCUCAGUACAUUACCAUGAAAUCGACUGGUAAGGAAUCCAGAGUAGUUCCAGUAUCCAAC